UAAUUGGAUUAUAUAAUUCUUUAAUUUUCUACUUGGUUUAUGAAUGUCUGGGAAAGUAACAUUAAGAAGAGGGGUAGGAGAAACCCAGAAACCAUGAUUUCAUAGCCCCAGGUCCUCAGGGUGACAUGGGAGCAGGUCCGCUCAGUGGCAGUAAAGUGAGCCUGCCUUUGUACCUGUUGUGGGUUCCAUUUAGAAGGUGCUCACCCAAGUUCUAAAAGGGGUCUGAAGUGUAUUCAGUGUGUGGCAGUUUACAGAACCGGUGAGCUGGAAAACCUAGUUGAUGUCUAUUCUUGUACGGGCUUUAGGUGAGGGAACUUAGCAAAGAUGUGAUGCGUGACAGACACUGGUAUCCUGCUUGACCUUAGGGGAGAAGGGACUAACC
rnacentral:lncRNA from 1 species